CGUAUUUCACUAUAGAAAAAAACAAAACAAAACCGGGCACUAGAGUUCAUCUCCGAGUGUCCUCGAUUCACGCUCCCAUGUCCCUGCUUCCCAAAACAGAGCAAAACGACGUCCCCGUCGUCGACAUUGACAGCGACGACGACGGCGGCGCCGCGGUAGCUCCGGCCAAAAACGACGCGUCGUCGCAUAAGACUCCGUCGCCACAAGUUGAGCUUGUGCAGCAAGAAACCCCUUCGUCGAGUUCCUCUCUGUCUGCCUCCGACGGCCUGUCCCGAAGCUUCUGGAAAGCCGGGGACUACGUUGUUGGUCCCUCCUCGAAGCCCGCUCCCUUCCAAGGUCACUUGGAACAUGCUCGGGUGCACCCCAAGUUUCUGCAUUCUAAUGCAACUUCCCAUAAAUGGGCUUUUGGAGCAAUUGCUGAGCUUGUGGAUAAUGCUGUUGACGAGAAUCAAAAUGGUGCAACUUUCGUGAAGAUUGAUAAGCUUGAUGUCAAGAAGGAUAAUUCACCAGCAUUAUGUUUUCUAGAUGAUGGUGGUGGAAUGAACCCUAAUGCAAUUCGAAAAUGCAUGAGCUUGGGUUAUUCAUCAAAGAAGUCAAAGACAACGAUUGGACAGUAUGGCAAUGGUUUCAAAACUAGUACCAUGAGAUUGGGUGCUGAUGUUAUUGUUUUCAGUCGGGCAAUGCAUUCAGGCCGGGCCACGCAAAGUGUGGGUCUACUAUCCUAUACCUUUUUGCGUAGAACUGGGCAAGAUGAUGUAGUUGUUCCAAUGAUAGAUUUUGACAUAUCUGGUCAUUGGGCUGAGCCAAUUAUUUAUAGCUCACAGCAUGAAUGGUCAGCCAACUUGAAAACAAUUCUUGAUUGGUCUCCCUUCACAUCAAAGGAGGAGCUCAUGCUUCAGUUUGAUGAUAUAGGAUCACAUGGAACCAAAGUUGUAAUAUACAAUUUGUGGUUGAAUGAUGAAGGGAUAUAUGAAUUGAGUUUUGAUGAUGAUGCUGAGGAUAUUAUGCUGAGAGAUGGGCCACCCAUGGAGCUGAGAAAAAUUUGUGCAAAAAAACUGUUCAGCUUCAGUCACAUAUUUCUUACCGCCUUCGUUUUUCUUUACGGGCAUAUGUUUCGAUGUUGUACCUUAGAAAAUUUUCUAACUUCUCUAUCAUACUAAGGGGGAAACUUGUGGAUCAAUUUAACAUUGUGGACGAUUUAAUAUAUUCAAAAGUAAUUCCAUAUAAGCCUCAGCUAGCCAUGGCAUCAAAUGAGGCUAUAGUGGAGACAAAGACAACCAUUGGAUUUAUAAAGGAGGCUGCAGAAAUUAAGGUUACUGGAUUUAAUGUGUACCACAAAAAUCGCCUAAUCAAGCCCUUUUGGAAAGUAGUUGCUGAUGGUUCAUCAAAAGGGCGUUGUGUUGUUGGGGUUCUUGAAGCCAAUUUUAUAGAACCAGCGCAUGACAAGCAGGAUUUUGAGAGAUCAGUGCUGUUCAUUCGGUUGGAAAACAAACUGAAACAAAUGACAAUGGAUUACUGGAGAGAACACUGUCACUUGGUUGGAUAUCAGCCACCAAAUUUGAAAUCACAAAAAAAUGUGGUAAAAGAAGCCCACAUUCGAAAAUCAGCUGAACAUUCAACUAAUCCACAGAAUCAGUUGCUUGCUGAUCAACAGGAUACUAGCUUGGUAGCUGAGCAUCAAAGUGGUCUGAGUCAGUCAGUUGUGGGUCUUGCAGUGACUGGCAUGCAAGGUUUGCGUCAUGAGCACCUUGGUACAAUAGUAGAAACUCCAGGAUCUGUAUCUCCUGAUGAAAUCUGUGCAGAAAACAUAAAACUUUUCGAGAGGUGUGAGGAGUACAGGCAAAAAGAGACUGAACUGAAACAGACGGUUGUGGACUUAGAGGACGAAUUGAAACAAAUCCAGAAGAAAUGUACUCUUCUUGUUUCACUCGUAGAGACAAAGAGGAAGGCAAAGAGUGUUAAGGGACAAUAAUUACGUUAUACAAGCAUCAUAUCAUUGAGAGGCAAGUUGAUUACCUUUCAAGUAAUUUCCGAGUGUAAAAGCACCUGUUUUGUAUAUAUGUUCACCCGUGUUAGAACAACUCUGGCUGGUUCGGAAGAAAAGGCAUACUGGACUUUGCACACAUAGUAGAAUUGAUUCACGUAAUUAGAGGAAACUCUAUCAGUUUAAGGUUGCUAUUAGCUGAUUCUGUGAAAACUUUUCUCUAAUUUGUAAAGUUCUGUCUUUUCGGUUAAAAAUUUCUGCUAUUAUUGUCAAAGAAAUCAGAUCAGAUAAUAUUGUUCUUGAGGAAAAGAGGUUUCGAAGAGCAAAGCCUCAUUUUAUUAUCGAAAUACUGAUUGACACAAAAUUCA
rnacentral:lncRNA from 1 species